GGUUUAGUUGGUUUUGCCUCAUUUUAACUUUCCACAAAAACAAUCCUAUGUUUUCAUCAAUUAACUAUCACAAUGCCUCACUCUUUUUUUUCCCCACUACAAUUGUCAAACUUAGUUCACACCUCAUAAAUUGGAAAAAUUUGAGAAAAUAAGGAGAGAACUAAAGAGAUGCAUCAAUUUUACUUAAUGAUAAAUGGAAACAUACACCACAGAGAUAACAGAGGACUGUGGAGAGAGACAGACAGAGAAAAAGGGUACAUGUACAGAGAGUGGCAUCUAAUGAU
rnacentral:misc_RNA from 1 species